UGGGGGAUAUUGCACAAUGGGCGAAAGCCUGAUGCAGCGACGCCGCGUGAGGGAAGACGGUCUUCGGAUUGUAAACCUCUGUCUUUGGGGAAGAAGAUGACGGUACCCAAAGAGGAAGCUCCGGCUAACUACGUGCCAGCAGCCGCGGUAAUACGUAGGGAGCGAGCGUUGUCCGGAAUUACUGGGUGUAAAGGGAGCGUAGGCGGGGAUGCAAGUUGGAUGUUUAAACUAUCGGCUCAACCGGUAAUUGCAACCAAAACUGCAACUCUUGAGUGAAGUAGAGGCAGGCGGAAUUCCUAGUGU
rnacentral:rRNA from 1 species